CCUACGGGGGGCAGCAGUGAGGAAUAUUGGUCAAUGGGCGGAAGCCUGAACCAGCCAAGUAGCGUGCAGGAUGACGGCCCUACGGGUUGUAAACUGCUUUUAUACGGGAAUAACGCGCCUUACGUGUAGGGCUUUGCAUGUACCGUAUGAAUAAGGACCGGCUAAUUCCGUGCCAGCAGCCGCGGUAAUACGGAAGGUCCGGGCGGUAUCCGGUUUUAUUGGGUUUAAAGGGAGCGUAGGCCGCAUGUCAAGCGUUCUGGGAAAGGGCCGGGCUCAACCCGGGCCUUGCAGUGGGUACUGGCGUGCUUGAGUCCGCGGAAGGCAGGCGGAAUGCGUGGUGUAGCGGUGAAAUGCUUAGAUAUGACGAAGAACCCCGAUUGCGAAGGCAGCUUGCUGCAGCGGAACUGACGCUGAUGCGCGAAAGCGCGGGUAUCGAACAGGAUUAGAUACCCGGGUAGUC
rnacentral:rRNA from 1 species